rnacentral:rRNA from 1 species
GAUGAACGCUGGCGGCGUGCCUAAUACAUGCAAGUCGAGCGAACGGACGAGAAGCUUGCUUCUCUGAUGUUAGCGGCGGACGGGUGAGUAACACGUGGAUAACCUACCUAUAAGACUGGGAUAACUUCGGGAAACCGGAGCUAAUACCGGAUAAUAUUUUGAACCGCAUGGUUCAAAAGUGAAAGACGGUCUUGCUGUCACUUAUAGAUGGAUCCGCGCUGCAUUAGCUAGUUGGUAAGGUAACGGCUUACCAAGGCAACGAUGCAUAGCCGACCUGAGAGGGUGAUCGGCCACACUGGAACUGAGACACGGUCCAGACUCCUACGGGAGGCAGCAGUAGGGAAUCUUCCGCAAUGGGCGAAAGCCUGACGGAGCAACGCCGCGUGAGUGAUGAAGGUCUUCGGAUCGUAAAACUCUGUUAUUAGGGAAGAACAUAUGUGUAAGUAACUGUGCACAUCUUGACGGUACCUAAUCAGAAAGCCACGGCUAACUACGUGCCAGCAGCCGCGGUAAUACGUAGGUGGCAAGCGUUAUCCGGAAUUAUUGGGCGUAAAGCGCGCGUAGGCGGUUUUUUAAGUCUGAUGUGAAAGCCCACGUCUCAACCGUGGAGGGUCAUUGGAAACUGGAAAACUUGAGUGCAGAAGAGGAAAGUGGAAUUCCAUGUGUAGCGGUGAAAUGCGCAGAGAUAUGGAGGAACACCAGUGGCGAAGGCGACUUUCUGGUCUGUAACUGACGCUGAUGUGCGAAAGCGUGGGGAUCAAACAGGAUUAGAUACCCUGGUAGUCCACGCCGUAAACGAUGAGUGCUAAGUGUUAGGGGGUUUCCGCCCCUUAGUGCUGCAGCUAACGCAUUAAGCACUCCGCCUGGGGAGUACGACCGCAAGGUUGAAACUCAAAGGAAUUGACGGGGACCCGCACAAGCGGUGGAGCAUGUGGUUUAAUUCGAAGCAACGCGAAGAACCUUACCAAAUCUUGACAUCCUUUGACAACUCUAGAGAUAGAGCCUUCCCCUUCGGGGGACAAAGUGACAGGUGGUGCAUGGUUGUCGUCAGCUCGUGUCGUGAGAUGUUGGGUUAAGUCCCGCAACGAGCGCAACCCUUAAGCUUAGUUGCCAUCAUUAAGUUGGGCACUCUAAGUUGACUGCCGGUGACAAACCGGAGGAAGGUGGGGAUGACGUCAAAUCAUCAUGCCCCUUAUGAUUUGGGCUACACACGUGCUACAAUGGACAAUACAAAGGGCAGCGAAACCGCGAGGUCAAGCAAAUCCCAUAAAGUUGUUCUCAGUUCGGAUUGUAGUCUGCAACUCGACUACAUGAAGCUGGAAUCGCUAGUAAUCGUAGAUCAGCAUGCUACGGUGAAUACGUUCCCGGGUCU